rnacentral:rRNA from 1 species
UGGGGAAUAUUGGACAAUGGGCGAAAGCCUGAUCCAGCCAUGCCGCGUGUGUGAAGAAGGUCUUCGGAUUGUAAAGCACUUUAAGUUGGGAGGAAGGGCAGUAAGCGAAUACCUUGCUGUUUUGACGUUACCGACAGAAUAAGCACCGGCUAACUCUGUGCCAGCAGCCGCGGUACUACAGAGGGUGCAAGCGUUAAUCGGAAUUACUGGGCGUAAAGCGCGCGUAGGUGGUUCGUUAAGUUGAAUGUGAAAGCCCCGGGCUCAACCUGGGAACUGCAUCCGAAACUGGCGAGCUAGAGUAGGGCAGAGGGUGGUGGAAUUUCCUGUGUAGCGGUGAAAUGCGUAGAUAUAGGAAGGAACAACAGUGGCGAAGGCGACCACCUGGGCUCAUACUGACACUGAGGUGCGAAAGCGUGGGGAGCAAACAGG